UACGUAGGGUGCAAGCGUUAAUCGGAAUUACUGGGCGUAAAGCGUGCGCAGGCGGUUGUGCAAGACCGAUGUGAAAGCCCCGGGCUUAACCUGGGAACGGCAUUGGUGACUGCACGGCUAGAGUGUGUCAGAGGGGGGUAGAAUUCCACGUGUAGCAGUGAAAUGCGUAGAGAUGUGGAGGAAUACCGAUGGCGAAGGCAGCCCCCUGGGAUGACACUGACGCUCAUGCACGAAAGCGUGGGGAGCAAACAGG
rnacentral:rRNA from 1 species